rnacentral:tRNA from 1 species
UUCCUAGUGCCUCAGUGGUAGAGAAUCUGCCUGCCAAGCAGGAGACCUGGGUUCCUUCCCUGGGUGGGGAA